UUAAAAAAUGUCAUUGAUAAACUGGAAAGAAAAAUAAUUUAUAAAAUGGAAUUGAGUGUUUCAGAACUGCAUCAAGAACAUGAUAGUCUGACGAGGAAAAUUCAAAAUUUAACUAACUGUAUCCAUGAAAGAAAUAUAAGAAUCGAAGAAUUAGAGAAUGAAAAAGUUCAUUUAUUGAACCGAAUCGAUCACACUUCUAUACAAUUAAACAAACAAAAUCAGCAAGUUGAAGUAUUAAAAAGAAUAAAUUCAACAUUUCGAGAAAAAUUAGACGAUCGAAAAAGAAAUAUUGAAUCGAUUUUUAGUGCUUUACAAUCCAUACAAUUUCAAAUUGAAAAAGUACAUCUAGUAUCUUCGGAAGACAAAAAAGUUACUACGGAUGUAAAUUACAAAAAAAAAAUAGAUAUUGCAAAUUCUGAUUAUUUUCUUCAAGAAAAUUCAAAUGAUGUUGUCAGAGAUAAUAUUAUAAAUACACUCAACUCAACAGAAAGUUUCGAAUAUCAACUAUCAUCAAUUAAAGAUAAUAUAAAUAUUCUUUCCAGUGAAUUACAUGCAAAUGUUGAUCCAAAAAACAAUUCUAAAAAUUCAUUAGCUCAAAUAAAAGAGAAAUCCAAUGGUUGCGAAAAUAUACAUGAAGAAGAAAUGAAGAUAUCUGAACAAAUGAGCGAUCAACUAAAUGAAAGUAAUAAAGGAAUAAAAGAUGACAAAAUGCAAAAAUCGAAUAAUCAAUUAAAUAAAUUUUCUUAAUGAAAUGAAAAUUUGGUAUUUUCGUUUGAUGAAAAAGAUAUAAUUCAUAAAAAUGAUUUGAAAAAAGAGUCGCGGUAUUAUAGCAAAAUUACAAAAUCUCACUACGGAAAUAACAUAUUUUCCAAGAGUUUAGAAUAAUAAUCUUUAGACGAUAAAAGCGAUCAUCUGAAUGGAAUUACGGAUCUUUCCUCAAAAAUAAAAAAUGUAAAACAAUAUAUUUAUUAUAAUAGAGUUCCAAAUAAAAUACAGUUUGACAAAUCCACUAUUCAAGAAUCCACAAAAUCUAAAAGUUCACCUUUCAAAUAAUUUAUUUUUCACUGCAGUUAACGUUCAAGUAAUAAAGAAUCUGGUUGAAAAA
rnacentral:misc_RNA from 1 species